UACACGUGGAUAACCUGCCCUUGGGUCUGGGAUAACCCCGGGAAACUGGGGAUAAUACCGGAUAACGCAUAUAUGCUGGAAUGCUUUAUGCGUAAAAUGGAUUCGUCUGCCCAAGGAUGGGUCUGCGGCCUAUCAGGUAGUAGUGGGUGUAAUGUACCUACUAGCCUACAACGGGUACGGGUUGUGAGAGCAAGAGCCCGGAGAUGGAUUCUGAGACAUGAAUCCAGGCCCUACGGGGCGCAGCAGGCGCGAAAACUUUACAAUGCGGGAAACCGUGAUAAGGGGACACCGAGUGCCAGCAUCAUAUGCUGGCUGUCCAGAUGUGUAAAAUACAUCUGUUAGCAAGGGCCGGGCAAGACCGGUGCCAGCCGCCGCGGUAACACCGGCGGCCCGAGUGGUGAUCGUGAUUAUUGGGUCUAAAGGGUCCGUAGCCGGUUUGGUCAGUCCUCCGGGAAAUCUGAUGGCUCAACCAUUAGGCUUUCGGGGGAUACUGCCAGGCUUGGAACCGGGAGAGGUAAGAGGUACUACAGGGGUAGGAGUGAAAUCUUGUAAUCCCUGUGAGACCACCUGUGGCGAAGGCGUCUUACCAGAACGGGUUCGACGGUGAGGGACGAAAGCUGGGGGCACGAACCGGAUUAGAUACCCGGGUAGUCCCAGCCGUAAACGAUGCUCGCUAGGUGUCAGGCAUGGCGCGACCGUGUCUGGUGCCGCAGGGAAGCCGUGAAGCGAGCCUCCUGGAA
rnacentral:rRNA from 1 species